rnacentral:rRNA from 1 species
GGUUAGACGAGAGACCCAAGUGGAUAGCCCUCGGCGUAAAGAGUGGUUAAGAUUGUUUCAAACUAAGGCCCAAAGACUUUUUAGCUGUUAUACGCGCGAGAAGACAUGAAGCCCAACUACGAAAGUGGCCUUAAAACCCUGACCCCACGAAAGCUAGGGCACAAACUGGGAUUAGAUACCCCA